UCUGAUCAUUAUUAGCUUGCAUUGUCCGUACAAUUCCACCAGGAUCUGGAGGUAGAAUCAGGAUCACCACAACGCUUCCAAAUAGACUUGGUAAAAUGAUUGCCCAUCUACAUUGGCAUGAUUACAAGAAGAAGUACGGGAAGCUUGAUGAGUUUGUCUCCAGCCAUCCUGAAUUAUUUGUAAUUGAUGGAGACUACAUACAACUUCGAGAAGGUGCACAAGAAAUCAUAGCAGCUAC